rnacentral:lncRNA from 1 species
CUGAAGAAUACAAGAUAGUAGGUAUUGCUUUCCUGCUAAUUAUGGCCUCACACCAAUUAGAAUGAGAGCCCAAGAUGCUAGACAAUUCAUGACAAACUAGUUGGUCGACGAUAAAAUGUUGGUGAAACAGAAUACCCUGGGGGCCGGCACAUAUGGCUGCUUGAGUUCAACAGAACAUUCUUUCUAGUAUGCACGAUCAGCUCAAAAUCGACGAUAUCUCUGAGAAGAUAAAUUUCUUGACGAUUCUAGAUAAAUUUCUUGAUGAUUCUCAGUCCUAACCGGUAAGACCCAAUUUGGGUAUCAAAUUAAGAUCGCUACUACAUACUUCAGAUUUUCAAUGAAAAUUCUCAGUGUACG